GUGUCCCCUUUGGCAGCACAUAUACUAAAACUGGAAUGAUAUAAAGAGAUUAGCAUGGCAUCUGCACAAGGAUGACACCCAAAUUCAUGAAGUGCUCCACAUUUUU
ensembl:snRNA U6 U6 spliceosomal RNA